GCAUUCUUACUUUGCACCAGACACUGGUCGGACAAUUGAUAAUCAAAAGAAGGGCACAGUUCUCAAAGUUUAUGGUCUAGGCCAAAGGGUUAUCAGUGAAUUGUGUUUAGAUCAUUAUCUGACUACAGAUAAGAAAGAUCCAAUUUAGACAGGGUGUGGGAAUUGAGAAGAUCGAGGAGGAUCAUCCCAGAAGAAUUCUGGUAGGAAGAAGUCCCUGCAUUUGGUUUUCACCAAUGGGUAAGAAAUAGGCAGAAGAUGUCAAAAUUGUCUUUGUACACAUUGCUUGGGCAGGUGGCAGGAAAGAUAUGCACAUGUUCUGAGAUCAGAAAGCAACAAGUUUAUUAAAGAACUGCUUAGAAAAGUGGGACUCCGAAUGAACACCUACUUCCCAAUGGAAUCAGCCAUGCUAAUCUUGGCCAUUUAGUGACAUAGUAAUUCCAUUAUCUCACUGUGCUUAUUUUUAUUGUUGUGAUGUGGUAAUAUUUUCAUGGUGCCUAUGAUUUAUGCAUUCUUGUGUAUAUUAAAUUAUUUAAUCUUCAAAGCAACCUAGUGAGAUAUUAUCUCUUUAUAGAUGAAAAAUGCAUCAAAGAGACAUGAAAGAACUUACCUAAGGUCACUUAAUCAGAGUGUGGCUUUAUUGGGAAGAAGCCCUUUCAAUUUAUGUUCUGACCUUAACGUUGUACCAUAGGACCUUCUUGAUAGUUUAUUUUACCAAUCAUUUUAUUAUAUAUAUUAUUUAGUAUGUAUCUAUGUGUUUAUCUACUUUUAUGUAUUUAUUCAAGGCUCAUUAAUUGAGCACAUGUCAUACUGCAUACAGACUUUUUUCUAGGUUCUAUGGUAAUAGCAGUGAAUAAAAUAAAUUAUUUCGCAUUACUACAAAUGUUAUUUAAAGACACUAUGGUUAGAGAGAGACAGAAGGUAGGGGAAUACAUUUUAGAUCAUUAUUUUAAUUUUCUUGGUCUUGCAAUAUUUAUAAAGGACUUGUUUCUUUUUGCGUAUUCACUUAAUUCAGUGAACAAAUUAUCACGUGAGACUCUUUUGUUACUUUCAUCGAUGUAUAAGAAGUAAAGGGACCUCUGAUCUGUCAAGAGACCAUUUUGUGCCAGCCUCUUUCACAGAUACUGUUUUAUUAGUUUGUUUUAUUAGAUAUUGUUUUAUUAUUGGAUGCUGGUGGAGUCCAUCAAAGCGCCAAGACUCUCUUUCUAUGACACUUUUACUACUAGGAAUGUGUACUGAGCACCUUCUUCCUCCCAGAGGCAGGAAACCAAUCCCAGGAUGACUCUGUUCAGCUACUUUGAUGUCCUACCAUUAGCUGACCAUGCUAGCAGCAACCAGCAAAGGUGGCUGUCCUACAAACAUAUCCUUUCAAAGUUCCUUCCCUGUAGAGCCUAGUUCCCUUCCAAAACUUAAAUGUUGGUAUGAGUUCCUGGCCAUUUAUUAACAUAUGUCAGGGACGACAAUAAAUACUUAACAACCAGAGAUAUAGAACAACAUGGCAAGCUACUAGACCCUUAACGAAAUCUCAGUGUGGCCACACAAGUCUAGGACAAGUCCAGUCCUCAUGUGUCUGCUUGGAAGCAUUCACGCCGACAACACAGAGGCAGUGUCUUUUUGUCUAUGAAAGCUUAUCAUCAUUUAUGUUCAAUGGAUACAUAUGAUUAUAUGUACUGUUGGGAAGAGAGGGAGAGUGGCUGGGUGGUCCCAGUAUUUAUCAUGGUCAAAUUGUUUAUUCAGUGUCAAUUAAAAUAGCAGACAUAAACAACUAGGAUGGAGAUUUAGAGCUACCUCGUAGCUGUUCCCAAGUUGCCAUGCUAAAGCAUGGCAUGAAACAGUUUUACUUGACAUUUUAGAGAAAAUCAUAGCUGCUUUUGUACAAAACAAGUGCCAGGAGGUUAACCACAGAAUCUCCCAAUUUAUUUCUCUCACAUCUUCAAGAACAUGAAAGAAUCUCACAAAUUGCAAAACUGUGGGACAUAAAUUUUCUUUUUGGGGUUGCUGUGAGAUGGGAUAAGAUUUGAAGCUUACACCCCAGUAGUCGGGAAGCCAAGGUUUAGGACAACUUCAAUUCUGUUGUGGGUGUUGUGUUGGGUCCUUUUCUACAUCUAUGGCUGUGUCUUUUGAAGAGGAAAUCCAUGAGGACAGGUCAGUGAUCCAAAGAGUCUCAUGUAUUGCCAGUUUUUCUCAUUUACAGCUCUUGUCAUUUUCCAAGUGACUGAUACACUGGCAUUACUGCCCCUUCUCUUCCUCUAACCAGUUUAACUUGACAGAGACCUUCAAUGAAGCUUGAAAGAUCACAGGUUCAGUCUGAAGUCUGAAGUUGUUGGCAGUUGACACCAUCAUAGAAAAUCCUUGUCACUGGUAAUCUCUGGGGUACAUGAUCCAAGAGCUAGUGGACCCCUACCCCCAUAUCCUCUGAUAUGAAGCAGAAAGGGAAGAUUUUCCUGGCUACUGGAUCUAGAACUAUUCCAAGAAUUAGCUGCUUAUUCUUGUCUUGGAAUGAUUCAAGUACUGUUCCUGGCUUAUGAAUGCACCCUGUUUGGGGGAGACUUUCUUAAGAGCACUUUUCCAAAUAAAUUGUCUGUUUUUUACAUUUCACUGAAUAAAGUCAGCACUUGUGUACUCUAACAUGCUGUAUAAUAUGGUGGUAAAAAGCUUGCUAUAUGGAAUUAGACAACCCUGAAUGUGAAUUCAGUUUCCCCCAUAUUAACUGUGUGGGCUUAGGUUAGCUUCUUCAACAACCCAAGUCUUGUCUUUGACUUUUGUAAAUGGGUAUAAUAAUAGUACCUCCUUGAUAAAGUUGUAGAAUGUAUGAGUAUUCAAUUCAUGGAAGUUAAAAUAUGAGCAUAGAUUGAGAGCACUCUUAAGUACUCAUGAAUGCUGUGAGAAUUAAGGAAGUUUAGUUGUUAUAAUCAACUAGGUCCCAUGAAGCACAAGAUGAUUUUGGAUUGGGAGUAAGGAUAAAGGAGUGAUUGACUUUUUUUUCAUUUGAAAAAAAUGCAUAUUUUGCAGUUGAAAAAAUAUUUCAUGAACUAGAUUGAAACUUCUGGCACGCAGUGUGAGCCAGCUCAGCUGAAUGUCUGUUACAUGGGGCUAGGCAGUGAGGGAUGCUUUACAAAGCUCUUCUGUGUCAAGGUUGAGAAUCAGCCAUACGAUACUCCCAGACAUACCUUCCUAACCCACAUGACUCAUUGCUGUGCCAAGCAUGGACAGUCUGUAUAUUUCUCUUUCCUGUUAUUACACAUUCCGUGCUGAUUUUAGUGUAGAAUGAACAUUUUAAUAACCUACGUGUUGAAAAUUGAAUUUAGUGAUUCAAACUUUUAGGGACUCCUUUCUAAUAGAGAGAAUGAGAUGAGAGAGAGAGAGGAGAGAGAGAGAGAGAGAGAGAGAGAGAGAGAGAGCACCGGAGCUACUUAGCAGUCUUAGAAGCAGUCUCUGAGCAUCCAUUGUUGGUGAUAAUCCACCUCAGAAGGAAGGCAUGGCCACCUCAGGAACAGGUAACUGUGUGCAUAGGUAAACCAGAGAACCACUGAAUAUAUAUUUAAUACUUGCUGAAGAGUAUCAAUUUAGAACAAGCAUGAAGAGUUAGAGAAGUUUGGUUGUGUUGAGUUUAGCAGUGUAAAAAACCUAAUAUUUUACAGAAACAGAUCCUGACUUUGUGACAAAGGCUUUGUAGAUGAAGAAGGGUGUCAUUUGGACCUUUAAGAGUGGAACUGUAUGAUUUGAUGGGGGAAGACAUGGUUCUUUGGGGCUGUUAGCAGAAUAAAAUACCCUCUAAGGCAGCACCUACCUUGAAGGCAACAGCCAUGCAGAGUCCAAGUAAAAGAUUUCACAGCAGCUCUGAGAGUGACGGGUGAAGGUGGCAUGGAGGUGAACGUGGCCUUGGUAGAGGGCAGAGACUUCAUCAUGUGAAUUGAGAACUACAGAGGUAAGAGCAAAAAACAAGCAUGUGAGUGAGAAGUGUUGAGUACGUAUAUGUUGAGUAUGAGAAGUGGUGAGUAUGAAUUUGAGGGAGAAUGAGAAUUCAGUGAAGGUGAGAGAAGACCUCUACAGUAUUUCCUUGGUAUAUGUUUUGUUGUGUCUAUUGCAGAUAUACAGCAUGUUAGGAUGAUGUACAUCAUGAAAUGGUUAGUACAGUCAAGUACAUUUUCCUAUCCAUGACUUUCCAUUAUUAAUCUUUUUUUUUUUUUUAGGUAAGACCACUUAGAACUACUCACUUUCCCAAUUUCUAGUCGACACCACAAUAUGAUUAAUUAGAGUUCUCCUGUUGUGCAUUAGCUUUCUAGAUGGAUUUGUCCUGUGUAUCUGCAAGUUUGUACCCUUUGACCUACCAUCUCCCAGCUCCUCCUCCUCCCCACAUCUGCCAUUGGAGGCGAACUUGAGCAACCACAGGAGAACUGUGAUGUAUUUGGUGAAAGUAAGGAUGGUGCCUGAGACGCAAAACUCACUAGCGCAGUGAAUGGCCCUACUGCUCGUCGCCACAGAACUGUCUGCAUGUCUGGUUUAUUACCUAUCACUUUUUCCUUUGCUCAUGUUAGGGGUGCCCACGGAAACCACAUAACCCCAGAUAUACCUAAUCAUUUUGCUUUAAAUAUCACCAUUUGUGAGCCCCUGGGUUUCAUACUCAGUACCACAAAAAAUCCAUACUAUUAAAAUAUGAAAACAUAAGCAUAACCCAAAAGAAGCAGAGACUUUCAGAUAGCCUCUUCCUCAACAGGAGCUUGGCCCAGCAAUUUUUGCUGCACCCCCUUGUUCUUGGUGAAAUCUAAAAUAAAGACCAUAAGUCAGCAGCUCUCGCUAUAUAUUAAAGAAAACAAAAUCAAAUUUUGAGAUGAAAGAACCUUUCCAUGUCAGUGUAGUGUGAGGUGGUGAUCUUAAAAAUUGUAGUCCUAGAGCCACACUGGUGUGGGUUUGGGUCUUGGCUCUCUUUCUAGUUAUGUGGUGUGGGGAAUCUGCUCUGUCUCCCUAAUACUCUUAUUUUCAUCAAUAAAAUGGAAUUGUUUCGAGAAUUAAAUAUGAUAUUUAAAGUGCUGAGCAUGC
rnacentral:lncRNA from 1 species